UUUCUUUAAGAACGGAAUUAAAAGUGCGCCGGCGGCUGUGUCUGUCCUUGUCCACUUGUGAAAGCAUUACAAUACGUGCUAACUGGGGAUGGUAGGCUUGAUUUCAGUGAGCCAACAUCGACACCUUGUGUUUUGGCGAUCGGAGACGUGCCAUUGUGGAGUCGGCACAGCGCGUCAUCCUUUUCCAUUGCAUGCCUCCAUCUUUACAUCUUUCCUCAAGCCUAAACUCGUAACAGGAUGAAAGUGGAUCGACUUCCCCUGACCCUAUGCCUCCUCUGUACAGGUGGCGGUAUCUUUGGAGUACUGAAGUCCAGCAAGUAAAGCAAGACUGCUUCUAUGAUGGAAUCACUAUUUAAUCUUCUAAAACUACUUCUACUAAUAAAUGAACACUUAAUUUCAUUACGUUUUGGUUUAUAGCGUGAAAUAAAAACAGCUAAUUGCAUGUGAAUGUUUUUCCAUCCAUCCAUCCAUCCGUUUUCGGUCCCGCUGAUCCUCACAAGGGUCACGGGCGUGCUGGAGCCUAUCCCAGCCAUCUUCGGGCGAGAGGCGGGGUACACUCUGAACCGGUCGCUGGCCAAUCGCAGGGAAAACAACCAUUCACGCUCACAUUCACAACUACAGGCAUUAGAGGCUUCAAUCAACCUACCACGCAUGUUUCGGGGAUGUGGAGGAAACCGGAGUACCCAACCACGCAGGCACGGGGAGAACAUGCACACUCCACAUAGGCGAGUCCGGGAUUUGAACCCCUGUCCUCAGAAGUGUGAGGCAGAUGUGCUAAUCCACCAUGCCGCCAAUGUUUAAAAAAAAAAAAAAAAAAAUCUUAAAUACGAGUCUGCCAUACAUUAUUCGGCAUGACAUUUUGUCUGCUAUUAACGGCGAAGCUGAGCUAGCAGGCUGAAGUCCAGGUGUACAUGACAAAGGGCUGGUUCAUUUCAUGAUGUGAGCACACUAUGGUGUUUUGGAAAUUAAAUCAGGAAACAAUUGUCAUUUGCAAUUUUAAUAUCUUUGCAGAGAGCGUCAGGAGAGGUUGCAAUUGCUUCACAUUUCUGCUAGUUAUCUUGUCCUUGAGAGAAAAGGGAGGUUGGUCCAACCACCGAGGCAGGAUGACAGAAGGGAAGAAACAAGAUAAAAAGAACAACGAAAAGUUUUCAUCAAUGAAAACCAAAGCCAGCCGUUCAAAGUCCCUACGGUUGCUCUGAUAUGGUCUUCUUCGCCAUUCACCCGAACCGGGAGGUUUUCCCGAAUGCGGAAGUAGGUUGCACAUAUACCGGAUUGACACCCACAGAAGAACGAGGAAGGACAAUAUAUUAGCGAGAACGUUCUCCGGGAGGCCGUGGAACGUACCGCUGCCCUCGGAGGCGAACUCCCUCAUGUCCAGCUCUUUGAGGGGGAAGUCGACGUACGUGGACAGCUUGCUGGCUCGGACGUUGGAGUCAGAGAAACGCUUCAGGUCUGGAGGGGGGCGGCCAGUCAAGUCAGCUCAACUCACUUCGACAUGAUUCUUUGGCACCGAAGCACUACUUUGUCUAAAUGAAGCUCCUCCCGUACUUCAUCAUAGUUUCUUGACCGCAAAAUGCCACAAGAUGGCAACAAAGCACUAAUUUUGUUCCUUGAUACCAGGAUGUCAGGUUUUCAGCAUACUUUCAGCAUUUUUAUUUUAUUUUAAUUUUUUAAUUGCAAAGGAUACGAAGCACAAGUAUCUGAGGGAACUUCUGAAUGCUGAAUCGUUUGGUGCAUUUCUGCCUGGUUUUGCAUCUGUUGCAAGUCUGCGUGGGAGAGAGACAACAAGUCAGUGAGACGACCUUUCUUUCCAAACCAACCACAAAAACGAGGCGUCCAGGUCUUACCGGCCUCUCGUCUCCGUCCAACACAUCCUCCUUGGUGAAGACCCUCAGGCAAUCUUUCAGGGUCACCUCGCCUGAGGUCUUCUGUGGACACAAUGCACGUGAGAAAACAUUGUCGUGGGCUUA